rnacentral:rRNA from 1 species
CGGGGUGCAGCAGGCGCGAAAACUUCACAAUGGGAGAAAUCCCGAUGAGGGAAUUCCAAGUGCUAGCACUAUGUGUUAACUGUUCCUUUGUCUAAAAAACAGAAGAAGUAAGGGCCGGGUAAGACGGGUGCCAGCCGCCGCGGUAAUACCCGCGGCCCGAGUGGUGGUCGAUAUUAUUGAGCCUAAAACGUCCGUAGCCGGUCUUGUAAAUCCUUGGGUAAAUCGGCCAGCUUAACUGUCCGAAGUCCGGGGAGACUGCAAGACUUGGGAUCGGGAGAGGUCAGAGGUACUUCUGGGGUAGGGGUAAAAUCCUGUAAUCCUGGAAGGACCACCGGUGGCGAAGGCGUCUGACUAGAACGAAUUCGACGGUGAGGGACGAAGCCCUGGGGCGCAAACGGGAUUAGAUACCCCGGUAGUCCAGGGUGUAAACGCUGCGGGCUUGGUGUUGGGGGUCCUUUGUGGGCGCCCAGUGCCGGAGAGAAGUUGUUAAGCCUGCUGCUUGGGGAGUACGUCCGCAAGGAUGAAACUUAAAGGAAUUGGCGGGGGAGCAC